rnacentral:rRNA from 1 species
CCUACGGGCGGCAGCAGUGGGGAAUAUUGGGCAAUGGGCGCAAGCCUGACCCAGCAACGCCGCGUGAAGGAAGAAGGCUCUCGGGUUGUAAACUUCUUUUCUCAGGGACGAAGCAAGUGACGGUACCUGAUGAAUAAGCCACGGCUAACUACGUGCCAGCAGCCGCGGUAAUACGUAGGUGGCAAGCGUUAUCCGGAUUUACUGGGUGUAAAGGGCGUGUAGGCGGGAGAGCAAGUCAGAUGUGAAAACCCAGGGCUCAACCCUUGGCCUGCAUUUGAAACUGUGUUUCUUGAGUACUGGAGAGGCAGACGGAAUUCCGUGUGUAGCGGUGAAAUGCGUAGAUAUUAGGAGGAACACCAGUGGCGAAGGCGGACUGCUGGACAGCAACUGACGCUGAGGCGCGAAAGCGUGGGGAGCAAACAGGAUUAGAUACCCGUGUAGUC